CCGUAGCUCAGCUGGAUAGAGUACCUGACUACGAAUCAGGUGGUCGGAGGUUCGAAUCCUCCCGGG
rnacentral:tRNA from 1 species